UGAACGACUCUGUUUGUACUUGAAGUGGGCUUUGUCGGUUUUCAAUCGUGGAUAUCAGCGACAUCGCAAAUUCCUGAACCCAAAUGCACGAAAGGUGUUUUUAGAUGGAGUGGAAAUCCAAAGAAAUGUAGGCCUCACUGAAGAUCAAAGCAAUAAGAAGUGGCUUUUUGUGAUUGAAGAAGACAUCAAGGGCUUGCAUUGCUUGCACUUGUAUUUUGGCAAUGAUUGAAACUUUUGGAUCAUGACUUCUGAAGAGAACUAGCAAAAUACUAGACUUAUGCUAGUUACAAUUAGGCCCAAGAAUUAGUAGUUUGU